GAUUAACGCUGGCGGCGUGCAUAACACAUGCAAGUCGAACGAAGUGGCGGACGGGUGAGUAACGCGUGAGUAACCUGCCUUAGAGAAGGGGAUAGCCUUUGGAAACGAAGAAUAAUACCCUAUCCUCUAAGAUGGACUUGCGUUUGAUUAUUUAGUUGGUGAGGUAACGGCCCACCACGACGGCGAUCAGUAGCCGGCUGGAGAGAGUGUACGGGCACAUUGGGCAUGAGGCACGGGCCAGACUGUGCGGGAGGAAGCAGUGGGGACUUGUGCACAAUGGGGGGAACUCAGGUGGAGCGCCGCAGCGUGAUUUAGAAGGCCUUCGGGUUGUAAAAAUCUUUUCUAUGGGAAGCAGUACCAUAGGAAUAAGGACCGGCUAAUUACGUGCCAGCAGCCGCGGUAAUAC
rnacentral:rRNA from 1 species